CCGUGCCGAGUUUCCGGCGCGCUCCCCCGCGUCCCGCGUCCCGUGGUCUCGCCCGCCCCUGCUGCCAUGUUGGAUUGUGCGGCUACUGCCGCCGCCGCCGCCGCCGCUGCCGCCGCCAGAGGACUGGAGGAGUAAGGAGUUUAGCGCAGCCGCUGGAGUGCGAGGACAACGACCAUCCGGCCCGAGCCAAGUAGGGCGGGAGUCCGGAGCUUCCCUGUCGGCGCGCGGCCUGAAGGCGCCCGCCGUCAGCUCCUUCCCUCGGCCUCCGCGCGCCGGAGGAGCGACGGGAUGCUGCGUCUGUAACUGCCGGCUCGCGCCCCUGUCACCCGGAGUGGGACCGAGUGCUCGCCCACCACCAGAAGAGACGGCCCUGGACACUCCACCCCACCGGCGACACCAUGAGCUCGGGCCAGCAGCCCCCGCGGAGGGUCACCAACGUGGGCUCCCUGCUGCUCACCCCGCAAGAAAACGAGUCUCUUUUCUCCUUCCUCGGCAAGAAAUGUGUGACUAUGUCUUCAGCAGUGGUGCAGUUAUAUGCAGCUGAUCGGAACUGUAUGUGGUCAAAGAAGUGCAGUGGUGUUGCUUGUCUUGUUAAGGACAAUCCUCAGAGAUCUUAUUUUUUAAGAAUAUUUGACAUUAAGGAUGGGAAAUUACUGUGGGAACAAGAGCUAUACAAUAACUUUGUAUAUAAUAGUCCUAGAGGAUAUUUUCAUACCUUUGCUGGAGAUACUUGUCAAGUAGCUCUUAAUUUUGCCAAUGAAGAAGAAGCAAAAAAGUUCCGAAAAGCAGUUACAGACCUGUUGGGUCGACGACAAAGGAAAUCUGGUAAA
rnacentral:lncRNA from 1 species